rnacentral:rRNA from 1 species
CCUACGGGUGGCAGCAGUGAGGAAUAUUGGGCAAUGGACGCGAGUCUGAACCAGCAACGUCGCGUGAAGGAAGAAGGCUCUCUGGGUGUAAACCUCCUUUUAUGGGGAAGUGCAGAAGUCGGUACGCCUUGAAUAAUCUAUGGCUAACUACGUGCCAUCAGCUGCGGAAAUACGUAGGUGGCAAGUGUUGUCCGGAUUUACUGGGUGUAAAGGGAGUGCAGGCGGGAAGUCAAGUCAGAUGUGAAAUCCAGCGGCUCAACCGCGGAACUGCAUUUGAAACUGUUUUUCUUGAGUACCGGAGAGGUAAGUGGAAUUCCUAGUGUAGCGGUGAAAUGCGUAGAUAUCAGGAAGAACACCAGUGGCGAAGGCGGAUUACUGGACGACAACUGACGGUGAGGCGCGAAAGCGUGGGGAGCAAACAGGAUUAGAUACCCGUGUAGUC